GCUCCUUUGUGAGAUGAUGACAGUUCACUAAGGAGAGCGUUGAUAUAGACCAAAUACAGUUUGGCAGACAAAACACUGCCUUGUCUGACACCUCUGUCCAAUUUGAACCAGUAAGAUUUGGUGUUGUUUACGGAGACACAACUCGUCAUUCCACUGUACAUGUUGUUAAACAGUUUCCAUAAUGCUUUGUUUAUGCCAAGAUGAUGUAGUUUCCAGAGAAGUCCAGAGUGCCACACCGUGUCAAAGGCCUUAGCACUGUCUAAAAAGACCACUUUGAUAUUAUCUUUUCUUUCUAGAUAAUGGUGUACAGUUUCCUGGAUUAGAAAAGAAGCGUGGGAGGAUGAAAGGCCCUUUUGAAAUCCGCACUGCUGUGAGUCUGGAAAUGACUUAGAGUUAUAAAUAUCAGGUGUGGAUCGAGGCAGCUAUUCAAGUGUUUUACUCCCUUGGUCCAGCAUGGGGAUCGCUAAUGACUAUGUCUAGUUUCAAUGACUUCAACAACAACUGCUUCAGACCAUCUUUAUCGUCACGUUGAGUGCCUAUCAGAUGCCAACCUACGAUGGGUACACAUAUCCAGUGAUAGCUCGUGCCAUCGGCUUUGUAUUCGCUAUGCUGCCUAUCAUCCCUUUGCCUUUCAUCAUGGUGCUGGAGCUGAGCAAAGCCAAGGGCACGUUGUGGGAGAUAUUCCUCUUCACAUUGCGACCUGCUUCUGACUGAAAACCAUCAAAGAAGGAGUACCAGCAUGGUUAUAAAACUGAAGGUCAUGAAUUUGUUCUGCCACUGACGUCUCUAUUACCACGUCGAAAACAAGUUCGCCAAAAGUGAGCAUUCCAUUGAUGCGCAUAUCUUUAAUGAGGAAUUCACUAUCACUAUUUGGAAUAUGCUUGUAAUUUGAUACAUUAAUGGCUUUCAUCUGUUGCCUGCGACAGGUGAAUUAUGUA